rnacentral:rRNA from 1 species
AACGAACGCUGGCGGCAGGCUUAACACAUGCAAGUCGAGCGCCCCGCAAGGGGAGCGGCCGACGGGUGAGUAACGCGGGGGAAUCUACCCAUCUCUACGGAAUAACGCAUGGAAACGUGUGCUAAUACCGUCAACGUCAUUCGGGAGAAAGAUUUAUCGGGGUUGGAUGAGCAGGCGUUGGAUUAGCUAGUUGGUGGGGUAAGGGCCUACGAAGGCGACGAUACAUAGCUGGUCUGAGAGGAUGAUCAGCCACACUGGGACUGAGACACGGCCCAGACUACUACGGUAGGCAGUAGUGGGGAAUAUUGGACAACGGGGUCAAGCCUGAUCCAGCUAUGCCGCGUGAGUGAUGAAGGUCCUAGGGUUGUAAAGCUCUUUCACCGGUGAAGAUAAUGACGGUAACCGGAGAAGAAGCCCCGGCUAACUUCGUGCCAGCCGCCGCGGUAAUAC